UACCAGCACCCCGAGUGGUCGGGACGAUUAUUGGGCCUAAAGCAUCCGUAGCCGGCCUUACAAGUCCUCCGUUAAAUCCAGCUGCUUAACAGAUGGGCUGCGGAGGAUACUAUAAGACUAGGAGGCAGGAGAGGCAAGCGAUACUCAGUGGGUAGGGGUAAAAUCCGUUGAUCCAUUGAAGACCACCAGUGGCGAAGGCGGCUUGCCAGAAUGCGCUCGACGGUGAGGGAUGAAAGCUGGGGGAGCAAACCGG
rnacentral:rRNA from 1 species